UUUUUUUUUACUUUUUUUAAUUUGAAUUAAUAUGUGAUAAAUAUAUUUUUUUUAACUUUCUCUUUUAUUUUGUCUUGUUCACUCUCUUUCAUUCUCGUUUUCUUAAAUUAUCUUAAUUAGGCAAAACCUUAGGUGGGAAACACAACAAAUAUAUUGUGACUAAGUCACAACCUAACAUGAGAACAGAGAGAAGGGAGAAGAAAAAUAAAAGAAAGGAAAAGAAAGAAAGA
rnacentral:misc_RNA from 1 species